UGGGGAAUUUUGCACAAUGGGGGAAACCCUGAUGCAGCGACGCCGCGUGAUUUAGAAGGCCUUCGGGUUGUAAAAAUCUUUUCUAUGGGAAGAAAAUGACAGUACCAUAGGAAUAAGGACCGGCUAAUUACGUGCCAGCAGCCGCGGUAAUACGUAAGGUCCGAGCGUUGUCCGGAAUCAUUGGGCGUAAAGGGUACGUAGGCGGGUAAGACAGUUAGAAGUGAAAUCCUAUAGCUCAACUAUAGUAAGCUUUUAAAACUGCUCAUCUUGAGGUAUGGAAGGGAAAGUGGAAUUCCUAGUGUAGCGGUGAAAUGCGCAGAUAUUAGGAGGAAUACCGGUGGCGAAGGAGACUUUCUGGUCAUAACCUGACGCUGAGGUACGACAGCGUGGGUAGCAAACAGG
rnacentral:rRNA from 1 species